rnacentral:rRNA from 1 species
AUUGAACGCUGGCGGCAGGCCUAACACAUGCAAGUCGAGCGGAUGAGUGGAGCUUGCUCCAUGAUUCAGCGGCGGACGGGUGAGUAAUGCCUAGGAAUCUGCCUGGUAGUGGGGGACAACGUUUCGAAAGGAACGCUAAUACCGCAUACGUCCUACGGGAGAAAGUGGGGGAUCGUCGGACCUCACGCUAUCAGAUGAGCCUAGGUCGGAUUAGCUAGUUGGUGAGGUAAAGGCUCACCAAGGCGACGAUCCGUAACUGGUCUGAGAGGAUGAUCAGUCACACUGGAACUGAGACACGGUCCAGACUCCUACGGGAGGCAGCAGUGGGGAAUAUUGGACAAUGGGCGAAAGCCUGAUCCAGCCAUGCCGCGUGUGUGAAGAAGGUCUUCGGAUUGUAAAGCACUUUAAGUUGGGAGGAAGGGCAGUAAGUUAAUACCUUGCUGUUUUGACGUUACCAACAGAAUAAGCACCGGCUAACUUCGUG